rnacentral:snoRNA from 1 species
AGCAAAAUGAUGAAAAUUUAUAAGCCGAAUUUCAAUGUGGGGUUCUAAAUAUUAUGGUUUUUCAAAGUUCUCUGAUUGCU